UACGUAGGCAGCAAGCGUUGUUCGGAAUUACUGGGCGUAAAGAGUGUGUAGGCGGUGCCCUAAGUUUGGUGUGAAAUCUCCCGGCUCAACUGGGAGGGUGCAUCGAAAUCUGGGGUGCUCGAGGGUGGGAGAGGUAAGCGGAAUUCCUGGUGUAGCGGUGAAAUGCGUAGAUAUCAGGAGGAACACCUGUGGUGUAGACAGCUUACUGGACCACUUCUGACGCUGAGACACGAAAGCGUGGGUAGCAAACAGG
rnacentral:rRNA from 1 species